CAAUAGCGUAUAUUUAAGUUGUUGCAGUUAAAAAGCUCGUAGUUGGAUUUUGGGUGCGGCAGGCCGGUCCGCCGUUUGGUGUGCACUGGCUGGUCUCAACUUCCUGUAGAGGACGCGCUCUGGGUUAACGCUCGGACGCGGAGUCUACGUGGUUACUUUGAAAAAAUUAGAGUGUUCAAAGCGGGCUUACGCUUGAAUAUUUCAGCAUGGAAUAACACUAUAGGACUCCUGUCCUAUUUCGUUGGUCUCGGGACGGGAGUAAUGAUUAAGAGGAACAGUUGGGGGGCAUUCGUAUUUCAUUGUCAGAGGUGAAAUUCUUGGAUUUAUGAAAGACUAACUACUGCGAAAGCAUUUGCCAAGGAUGUUUUUCAUUAAUCAAGAACGAAAGUUAGGGGAUCGAAGAUGAUCAGAU
rnacentral:rRNA from 1 species